rnacentral:rRNA from 1 species
UACGGAGGGUGCGAGCGUUGUCCGGAAUCACUGGGCGUAAAGGGCGCGUAGGCGGCGCGAGCAGUCGAUCGUGAAAGUCCGGAGCUCAACUCCGGAUCGGCGGUCGAUACUCUCGUGCUUGAGCACUGUAGAGGCAGAUGGAAUUCCAGGUGUAGCGGUGAAAUGCGUAGAUAUCUGGAGGAAUACCGGUGGCGAAGGCGGCAUCCUGGACCAUUACUGACGCUGAGGCGCGAAAGCUAGGGGAGCAAACGGG